rnacentral:rRNA from 1 species
CCUACGGGAGGCAGCAGUGGGGAAUAUUGCACAAUGGGCGCAAGCCUGAUGCAGCCAUGCCGCGUGUGUGAAGAAGGCCUUCGGGUUGUAAAGCACUUUCAGCGGGGAGGAAGGCGGUGAGGUUAAUAACCUCAUCGAUUGACGUUACCCGCAGAAGAAGCACCGGCUAACUCCGUGCCAGCAGCUGCGGUAAUACGGAGGGUGCAAGCGUUAAUCGGAAUUACUGGGCGUAAAGCGCACGCAGGCGGUCUGUCAAGUCGGAUGUGAAAUCCCCGGGCUCAACCUGGGAACUGCAUUCGAAACUGGCAGGCUAGAGUCUUGUAGAGGGGGGUAGAAUUCCAGGUGUAGCGGUGAAAUGCGUAGAGAUCUGGAGGAAUACCGGUGGCGAAGGCGGCCCCCUGGACAAAGACUGACGCUCAGGUGCGAAAGCGUGGGGAGCAAACAGGAUUAGAUACCCUGGUAGUC